UACGAAGGGGGCUAGCGUUGUUCGGAAUCACUGGGCGUAAAGGGCGCGUAGGCGGCCGAUCAAGUCGGGGGUGAAAGCCUGUGGCUCAACCACAGAAUGGCCUCGAUACUGUUUGGCUUGAGACCGGAAGAGGUCAGUGGAACUGCGAGUGUAGAGGUGAAAUUCGUAGAUAUUCGCAAGAACACCAGUGGCGAAGGCGGCUGAACUGG
rnacentral:rRNA from 1 species